rnacentral:lncRNA from 1 species
AUUCUUUUUUUGAAAUAAUAGUACCCAAAAAAUAAAAGUGUGCAACUGAAUACCUUGAAAAAAAAAAUAUUGUUAUUUACAUACAAGCAUUCUCAUAACAAAAAAACAAAUUCUGAUUUACCCUUACUCAUAACAUUUUUUCAUUAAAAAAAAAAUAUUGUUAUUUACAUACAAGCACAAAACAUUUACUGUUAAUAGUUUCUAGUACCUCAUCAACAUGCUUCUUUGGUUUAUCGACUGCAUUCUCCACUUCUUCCAUCUCGUCCUCGGUGAAAACUUUAAGAAGCUCUAGUGUCAAAGUUGCUGGAUCAAGC